rnacentral:rRNA from 1 species
UCGGGAAUAUUGCGCAAUGGAGGAAACUCUGACGCAGUGACGCCGCGUAUAGGAAGAAGGUUUUCGGAUUGUAAACUAUUGUCGUUAGGGAAGAGAAUGGACAGUACCUAAGGAGGAAGCUCCGGCUAACUACGUGCCAGCAGCCGCGGUAAUACGUAGGGAGCGAGCGUUAUCCGGAAUUAUUGGGUGUAAAGGGUGCGUAGACGGGAAUACAAGUUAGUUGUGAAAUCCCUCGGCUUAACUGAGGAACUGCAACUAAAACUAUAUUUCUUGAGUGCAGGAGAGGUAAGUGGAAUUCCUAGU